rnacentral:tRNA from 1 species
UUCGGAAUAGCUCAGUUGGUUAGAGCGUGUGGCUGUUAACCACAAGGUCGGAGGUUCAAGCCCAACUUCUAGCG